GUCGUCGCAUCGCUGACCUGGGCGAGCGUGCUCUCCUCCGAUGGGGACGGCACCCUCAACCGGCUGCUGGGCCUGUUCGGCUCCGGUGCGGCGGCACC
rnacentral:tRNA from 1 species